rfam:Turicibacter sanguinis PC909 contig00110, whole genome shotgun sequence.
CCUCCCAUGUUCAGAAACGAGCAUGGAGUGAGAUUUUAAGAAAUCUCCAACAUCCUUUGAAUUGCUGGGACCUCCUAAAGCUCAUUUAACCACAACAUAAGUUUGAAAUAGACUAAGUGUGAAGGUUGCGAAAGCAGAAAAAAUAAAUGAGAUGGCAUAAGGUUAAAUCCUACGUGCUCAUACAAUGGAAAAUCAGCAGCGAAGCUCCGAAUAGGAGAACGUUCAACGACUAUCCCUAUAAGGGAGUACACUACAAGCGAUGGGUAGUGGAAGCGGAGGACAUCCUCAAACUAGGAUGAUGAUAUAGUCUACACUCAUAUGAAAGUAUGAG